UCAAGUAUCUUCUUUCAAAAUACAGUUGAAGGCCUCCAUGUUUACUUUCGGAAGGUCGGUGGUCUCUUCCCAGGUACAUUGUAUCUGGGUUCUCUCUUCCACCAAUAAAAAAACUGGGCGCCACCAGAUAACUGAAAAAUUGUUGAGUGUGGCAGAAAACAGCAAAUCAAUCAAUCAAAAUACAGUUGAACUUUAGUAUCUUGAACAUUGAUAUCUCAUAUACCAUUGAUAGGUUGAAGCGAGUUAGAGGUCCAAACAACAUUUUCUUUUCGUAUUUUGACCACAAUAUUGAGAAUCCCCUAAUACCUCUGUGUUUUUUUUCUCAGCCCCACUGAUGAACAAGAUGUUUCUCAUGCUAGUUAUUAACAUUUUGAUAUUUUUCACUGUACAGUGCUAUAAAGAGUACCUGGGCUUUUACUGAGCAACAAACACCCACACUAUAUGUGGAACAAGGGACAACUUGAGCUCAAUAUUGUGAUAAUUCACCCCUGCUUACCUCAAUGAAAGUUAUAACAAAGGUUAAAGGUUCAAAGGUUAAAGGUUUUGUUGACAAACAGACAGACUAAACACUAUAUGCCCCUAAAUCUUCAAUUAUGGGGAAAUAAAAAAGGUUCAUAUUGACUAUUUAUUGGGAAGUAAUGCCUUAUUGGGAAGUAUGGAAGUAUGACUUAUCGGGAAGUGCAUGCCUGUCCUCGAUUGCUGCAUGGAAGUGAACCUUGCACCCUGCAAUAACCUCAGGUGGCCUUGUUUCCUGAUAUUCUGUCCAUCACUCAAUCAAUUAACUUUGGUCUAUUUGUGGCUUGAGAUUCUUAACUGACCCCACAUUACUUGCAAUUGUGUUUAAAAUGAUCUCCUUCUGCAAUGUGGUGACUCUUAGAACACACACGAGUUUCCUUUACCUUGCUAUACAUGUACUUGAAUGGUUAGUGAAUGUUGGAAAUUGUUACCAAUAUUCUGGAGGAGAAGACAUAAAUAAUUUAUUAACAAACAUAUAAUUAUAUAAACAAACCAACAAAAAACUGGAAUCAGAAAAUUCACUACACUCAGCGGCCAGGUGAUGUAAAGGAAUCAGAAAAUUCACUACACUCAGCGGCCAGGUAAAGUAAAGGAAUCAGAAAAUUCACUACACUCAACGGCCAGGUGAAGUAAAGGAAUCAGAAAAUGCACUAAACUCAACGGCUAGGUGAGCUAAAUGAUGUUAAAUCGAGACCUCAGGUGAGUCGUCAGACUUUGCCUUCAGUAAAUUAAACAACGUACAUUUAUGAUGUGAAUGACUCAUUGCAGCAUUGUUCAGAAAAUGAAAGAAAGAUAAUUAAAAAGAAAGAUCACAUUGCUUCAUCCCUCCCCCUCCCCCUUACAAUGCAGCUCUUCAUGUACUAGAUGUUACAAUAGACCCAUGGCAAAAAUUCUACAUAUAGACAACUGAUAAAAGAUUCAUAUCAAUAAAUCCCCUGAUUCAUCGCCCUCGUCCCACACAUAUACUCUGCAGUUACAUGCAUAUUUACAACACACUCGCUGUCAACUUGUUACAUUGCAGCAUGUGUUUUGCAAUUCCAUUUCUACCAAGCUAUUAAGCUAUCCAACUUUAUGACAGAUUUACUUUCUAGUAAAAUGUCCGCUGAGUCGAUCACACUCUGAACAGAAGGACAACAACCUCUAGUAACACCAUGGCAGAUUUUAAAAAAAUUGUAUCCAUGAUGAUAAUAUGAAGGUUAUACAAUAUACAGAACAAUUUCCUCUCUGUUAAAACAUGAACAAGUGUAGGAGUUGAUGGUACUUGAACUAAAACCUUCAUGUGUAUAAGGAGCUCAUGCAGAAAAGUCAGUUUUAAGUCAUUACAAUUUACUUCUACAUCAUCAUAACAUUCAUUAAAAACACAAAAACGAAUCUGGUGUUACUUAAUGCCCUCUGUGUUACAAAAUGCUUCGGUGUUGUUGCAUAUUUAAUAAUCUCUCUAGUGUUACUAACAAAUCUAGUUAACUUAGGUGUUAGUGGUUUUCUCUACAGAGAACAAAUCUAGUUAACUUAGAUGUUAGUGGUUUUCUCUACAGAGAACAAAUCUAGUUAACUAAGGUAUUAGUGGUUUUCUCUACAGAGAACAAAUCUAGUUAACUUAGAUGUUAGUGGUUUUCUCUGCAGAAAACAAAUCUAGUUAACUUAGAUGUUAGAGGUUUUCUCUGCAGAAAACAAAUCUAGUUAACUUAGGUGUUAGUGGUUUUCUCUACAGAGAACAAAUCUAGUUAACUUAGGUGUUAUUGGGUUUUUUCUGCAGAAUUCAAAUCUAGUUAACUAAGGUGUUAGUGUUUUUAUCUGCAGAAAACAAACUAGUUAACAUUAUCUGCAGAAUACAAAUCUAGAUAACUUAGGUGUUAGUGGUUUUAUCUACAGAAAACAAAUCUAGUUAACUUAGGUGUUAGUGGUUUUCUCUACAGAGAACAAAUCUAGUUAACUUAGGUGUUAAUGGUUUUAACUGGGGUUUUAACACUCUGGUUAACUCUUUGUUUGAGUAGAAACCUACUGAUGAUAUCGGGAAGGACAACUUUCUCCUGUGGGUCGGUGGGCCGCAAUUCACUUCGAGGAAACUCGCUAAUUUUAUUCAGAUGACGCUCUCGAGAUUUUUCUUCUAGUAACACUACAAAGAUUUCAGCAAUGCAAGCAGAACAUGAAAGCUGUGUAAAGCAAAGCUAGUGUGAAAUUAAUCAUUCCAAUUUGAAAUUUAAGAUCAUUCUUCAUUUUACACAUGCACAUGCAAAGAGAAUCCUCCUAUUGCUUCAUGAAAAUCACAUAUCUUAUUUAAAUAGUUACUUUUUCUAUUGUACCAUGAAAGUCGAAAAUUUGCAAAAUGUCAAAUCUGUGAAAUCACAGCAAAAAACAAAAGCACAGUAUAAGCAAACCACAUGUGUAACGAUACUUCUAUAUCGAUGUUGCAAGAUUCAUCCAAGUUUUGUGAUUUUUUUCUCUCUCUUCAAAUUUAUCAUAUUACCUUUGACCAUAUUAACUCUUAAGAAUCUAACUUUCUUAAUGAAAAAUUCUAUUAAGGACUAAUUGCUAUCAUGCUUCUAUUUCAAAUACAUUUUUAAGAAGUUUUGCUACCUAAAUUCAUGAUUCAUUUUACCACUUAAUUUCAAUUCAUUUUAUCACCUAAGUAUAAAAAAAAACAGUUUGGAUUUUAUAUAAAUUUAAAACAGGCAAGCAUUCCUCGUAUGUUUGAUACAUAAAUUAAAUCUGAAUAUCAAGCCAUUUACACAGUUCCUCAACACAGCCUCAAGCAGUCUCUUCCUGAUUUUUUCCUCCUAAAUUGCAUGAGAACUUGUUUUUAUUUUGACAUGUAAGUGAAGAAAAUAUUUGUUAUAAAAGAAAGAGCAAUGAGGAAAUACUACUUAAUAGCAUAUAACUCUAGUUAAUACACAUACUAUGGAAAUUUCUGAACAAGAAAGAAAAAGUCAUAAAGAUGUACAGUAUUAAAUUUCUUUAGAAUGAAAUAGUCUGGAUACAUAAUAGUAUUAUGAUUUCUUUAUUACAUUUAAUAAAUAACACAGCCAUUCUGAAAUAGGGGGAAUAUAAUAUGUAUUCUAGAUAGUGCUGAAAUCAGUGUCUCUGGCUACCAGUGGAGAAAUGAUUACACACAGAAAAUUCUGCGAGAGUACAGAGCUACAAAGUCUGAGAUUACAUAGUCCUACACUCCAGAAUAUCACACCGUUAGUUACACGCCUAUACACUCACUACAGGACUCGUCAACUCACUGCUUGAGUCGGGGAGCAUGACGCGCUCCUUGGUGCGGAUGUGUUGUAGUUGGAGCGAGUCAAAUGUCUCGACAUUUUGGAGUAGUUCCUGAUGAGAUUUUUCUUGCUGCAAUGCUACAGAAACAGCCUCAUAGCUUACUUUAUGUACAGAGAAUAGCACAAAAUAGACAUCAUUGUAUAGCUGACAUAACUACACAGAGCACACAUACACAGUUGAACUGUGGUAUCUCGAACAUCAAUAUCACGAACACUAGGGACAUGAUGGAUAUAUAUGUUGAGUUGGAACUUGGAGGUCCCAACUACAUUUUCUUUAAACCUCAACAUCUCGAACCCUCCGAUAUCCAAAAGUUUUUCUCUGCCUCAUCAAGUUCGAGAUAACGAAAUUUGACUGUUCUAUCAUUGUUUAUAGCUAACAUAACUGCAAUGAGAUAGAAAUAUCUAUUUUAAUAGGACAUUAGAAUUUGUAGCAACAGCUAAAGAUUUUUUAUAUGUGAAACUAUAUUUCACUAGCCUAUCAGCAUCAUUCUGUAGCUAAAUGCUAUUGUAUCCUUUCAAAGCUAAGUUUUAAAAGAUCGUGUCCAUCUAUACUGACAGCUAGACAGUUCCUAACAGUGAAUAAAUGCUACUGUAAGCUAUCUAACUUCUGUUAUACUGACGACUAGACAGUUCCUCACAAUGAAUAAAUGCUACAAGCUAUCAAACAUCUGGAUGACUAAAUUAUCUUCUUUUCCAUCUAGCUCAUAUCACAUCUAGAAAUCAUUUAACAUCAUCAGGCCAUUUGCAAUGUAGCAAUAAAGAUUUACACCAUGAGACAGAUAAAAUCAAACACCUUCCCUCUCAACAAAUAAAUCUAUAUUACAUGUGUACAUGUAGCAUUAGAGACAAAUUAUCAAAUGAACAAUCACUGGAUUUCAGUUUCUGUACUCAGUAAGGUCAUAAAACAGCUAAACUUUGAUAUAUAGUAGACACAGUAUUAAAUGAUGCAGAACAAAGCUAUUGUAUGGGGUUUUUCUUUUUAGUAUUAUACGAAUAGCUGCUUUCUGAGCUAUUUGAAAGUGUCUGAACCGAGUUAUAUAUAAAUUCUGAUAAUUAAUGUCCUUGAAAUGACACACUUGUUGAAGCAUGAAAUGACUGAACGAGGGCAUCCUUUGUUAAUAAACAGAGAGACGAGAUCUACACUAAGUACUGGGAUAUCACUAUAGGUUACAAUAAUGUACAGUUCAUGUACGACAAUGACAGACACUAUAGCCAAAGAUUUGAAAUAUGUAGCACACCCUCUUGCCCUCGAAUUACUCUCGCCUAACACGAUGAUGGCUGCUCAUAUUUGGAAUAUUUUGCUGAAUUACAGCACUACUUCACUCUUUACAACAGAGGCACCCCCAGGGAUGAAUUGAAUGCAGAAAAGAAAUUUUUGUUAGAAACAAAAAAAGAUUAUAAGAUUUAUGUGAUGAACACAGCUGGUGCAAACACUUAUAGCUUAGUACAUUAAUAAAUUGCAUGUUUACAAAUCUGAUGUUUGACAAUUUUGUUAUGUUUAAAAAGACAAUAUUAUACAUUUAUAAAUGAUAAUUCAUAUUUCCUGUAAGUUUUUUAAAAGGAUUUAGACAAAACGGAAAUCUCUACAAAGUUUAACAGUUUUUAUGAUCAUUGUAUAAAAUCGAUCUAGGGGAUUUGAGUGGGCAGAUACAGCCAGCGGUAAACAGUCAUAGGGUCAGCGAAUUUAAAAGUAUCUCUGUCAAAGGCAAUAACCGAUCUGUUUGUUCAAACAACAAGGUUACGAAUGUGGUGAUAACAACAUAUUAACCAACAUAGAAAUUGAGUGUGACCUGCACAGGGAACUGUUUACAAUUAAUAAACUAAAACGAGGAAAUAUGACUUUGUCUAUCCUUGAAGAAGAUUAGAAUUGUUAGAUUGAAACUUUCAUAGUGACAGAGGUCUUCUUCUUCCCGCUUUCUUUCAUAGAAAAGAAUAAAUCCUGUUCUCAUUGUAAACUGGUGUGUUAGCAUGGCUGGGCCUUGUGGGACAAAUUCCACCUGAUCUUGUUCACUGCCCUGUAUUUCCUUAUGAACAAUUAUUGCCUCAAUAUGACUAUAGUUAACAAGGACCCAGAUAUUUCCAUGGUUUGCUAAUAUACAAAUGUAUAUACCCGGUAUGGAGUUUUUAAUUAUCGCCUCAAUAUGACAAUGGUUCACAAGGGCCCAGAUAUAUUUCCAUUUUUGGUUUGCUAAAAUAUAUAGAUAUAUAUAUAGGGAAUUUUUACUUGUCGCCUCAAUAUGACAAUGAUUCACAAGGACCCAGAUAUUUCCAUUCUUAGUUUCGUAAAUAUAGGAAUUUUUGGACAUGAAGAACAUCAUUCAUUUUCAACUCCAGACACAGUCCUUAAUUCGUGUAGGCAGCUAAUUUAAUCAAACUUUCUUAUGACGGAAAUUAAAACACCGACUCUUUGGUUAGAGUUAUGUAAUAUUUCUCCAGUAAAUAAUGCAUUUCAGUUUGUGAUGCUUAAAAUUUCUUCUGAUGGGACGCAAAUGUUGAGCUGAAAGUCUCCAUCAGGGAAUGUGUUAUUCAGAGGAGAGAGGGGGUUACAAUUUGACAAAGCCUUAGUGUGUCGAAUUAAAAUAAAAUUUAUACUUUUUGUAUUUACAUAUUUUUAUACUAUCAAGAAUGGUAGAGAAACUGUGAGAGAAAAAUCUUGGCAGGUGAAGCUAGUACUGUCCAUUACAUUCACACCUGUAUGACAUAAAGAACCACCUCCUGUCAGGCAGGUGAGACAUAGUGUUGAGCCAUCUCUACCUGCUCUACCUGGCUCAGGUGAAAAUUUCACCAUCACAAUGCCCCUUUUAUAACCAUGCACUGGUAAUUAGUGAAACAAACCAGCCUGCAAUGAACCCCAAUUAAAGAACUUUAAUCAUCUUCCAAAGGUUGUUGUAGCUCUCAGUCAUGACAAAUCUCUUAACUCCCCUAAUACUAUUACAUAACAAUAAAUUCCCUGCUACAUUGCAAAAGAUUACGUAGAUAAUACCAUCUCUGGUUUCCCCAAAAUGAGCCCUGUUAGGUUGUACAUGAUGCAUUUAAGCCUUCCUCUCGAAAUCAAACAAGUAUACACAAGUGUGUUUUCCAUCUUCCGCAAGUACACAAAAAACUUCUUGUCAAAGAAAACUUGUUUUUGCUUACAAUUUCUUUCUUUCUUGAUUUAUACAACAACUAAAAAAAAGGAAGAAAAAAAAAAGAACAUUUUUUUUAGCUAAAUUUCAACGGUCACCACCCUUAACAAACCUGGCAUUAAGUAGACAAUAUUGAUAUAACAACUUAUGUAUCAAAAGGUUAACAGAAGUUUACACACAUAAAAUUCUGACAGUAGAGAAAGUAAUGCAUAUACAUGUAUACAUGUACGGAUUAUGUUGAAUGAUUUAACUAGGAUACUAGAUAGACGCCUACCUUCAGCUGAGGGUAAGGGGUUCUUCUCUUCCGUGGCCACAUGGGUCAGCUGGUGUUCUGCCCGCACAUCUUUCAACAAUUCUGGUGCCACUUUGGUCGACAUGUUCUGGUUAAAACUGUGAUAAAAAGAGCAAAAUGUUUCUGUAAAGCCUCAGCACACCUCCCUAUGAAAUACACUAAACUUCCUGUCGUCUCUCGAGAUAUCGGAUUUAACACACAUUCACGUCAAUUGCUAACUCUGGACUUUUAGUUCGAAUCGAGAACAAAACACUUCCUCGAGGUACAUCAUGCAUAUCAAACAUUGUAUUUGUCAUAUGCAAGGAUUUUGACAGCUGAUAAUUCCUAUAAAUCAUACAAGUUGUAUGAUUCAUCAAAACCCACUUUUUAUGCACAAAAUACUGAUAAAUGUGCAUGUAUUGACUAAAUGUACUCCUUAGUUUAUCAUCGUACGUCUAUAUGUAUUCAUAAAUUUAUGCAGAAAAAAUUAUGAUAUUCGGAGUGAAGACCUGAUAUAAUCAAAACAAGCAAAAAUACUCACUAUCUAGUUGAAUCUAUGAACAGGUAUAAAAUAUAUAAUACAAACUCCAAAACACAACCUUUUUUGAAAUGUAAUUACAGCAAAGCACACGACACGGAGGAAGCUCAGCUAAAACUGAAGAAUGUUGUUUACUGUCCACAGCACCGACAGGAUGUGGGUCACAAAUGUGCAGGUGAGUCAAUGAGGGGUGCCUCACAGGGAAAUUCCAAAACACACACACAAAGGGUCAUCCUUAAAAGCUUUAAAUUACUGUAAUCAUGCUAUCUGGCUAAUCAUUAUCUGUCUGCCCACACGUAACAAGUUUAAAUUAUUGGUCGACUCCCAGCCGCUGGUGUGCGAGACAGGGAAAGCCUCACAGAGCAGUCAAAAUUUUGUACAGUGCACACACCUAGGAAUAGAUUUGGGUUUUUGUUGUUGACUCAAUACCUAUCCCUGAAAGGUAUCGUGGUGCACCUUUAUUUAAGACUCCUGGUCCUUACCACAGCACAUACAAAGAUAUCUAGAGUGUUGGUAUUAUGAAUUUUUUUUGGUUGCACACAUACGAUAAAUUUACUUGGUUGUCCUGUAUGUCUUUCCAGUUAAGUUUCACUGUAGAAUUCAUUAGCAUUAAACAUAAACAGUACUUUAAUUUUAAUUCAAAAGAAUGUCAGAUCCAAUCCCCCACCCCUUUGACUUGGUCUUCACACACCCUACUCAAGAAUUCGAAAGCGACCAGGUCAUAUUUCACCAUCACAUUCACUCUUCAUUGAUAUAUUAGUAUAGACUUCAAAGCAACCCAAAGCCUGAAUUAAAUUUGUUUUUAAAUAUUCAGUGAGUACAGACCUAUGGAUUGACAAAUGAGUAGUCUGUCAAUAGACUUAGUGUUUCAGGAUGCUUGACUGUUAGAUAUAGUAUUACUAGUAAGUACUGUGUACUCACUGAUGGCUCAUUAAGGAGCUGAUGAUGUAACUUCCUCAACAGGCCAGUUCCUAGCAGUCUACAGUAUGCUUCAGGACACUGCUUCGGACAUAUCAAUCACACCACCACUUUAAUAGUAAACUUUGCAUUCAUAAUUUUAAGUCUUAUUUAGAUUGUGUUAGCUCUCAUUUUGGAGUCGAAAUUUUUGUUGCAAAAUUGUGAUUUGUUAUUUCAAAUUAGAAUGACAGAAAAAACAAGGUUUAUAUAAAACUGUCGUUAUUAAUAUUUGUGUUAAAAAACCUAUCCAGAGGCUCUGAAUGAUGUAAAAUUACAUCAUCAUAACUUCCUGUACAAAAAUUGAUAUCUAUAUAAUGCUAUAUAUAGUAAGUGAUACAGUUCAAUGGAACUGAAAUCUUUAUUUUGAUAAAAUCUUAAACUUCGUUUUAAUUUUAUCAAUGGCUAUGGUCAAAGUUACAUACAAAACUUCAUAAUAGCACAUUUUUACAACAAAAUAAUUUUUCAGAUUUAGAGUCAAUAAUAUUUUAAGACCAUAUCAACUUAAGGUUUAACAGAUGUCAGCUGCUGCUAGUAUAUGACUCAAGUCAAGUGGCAACUCAUGAGAUGCAAUAUCUGCUGUGUCUAGAUAUAUUUGUAGGGAUAUAGCCUGGGCUAGAUUAAACUUAUGUGCUCACAAGCCCAUAGAUGCAAUGCCUGCUGUCCCUAUCUAGGGGUAACCCGGACUAGAUUAGACUUAUGUGCUAACAAGUGCUUUGCAAUGCCCGCUGUCCCUAUAUCUAAGGGUAGCCCGGGCUAAGCUAGACUUAUGUGUUAACAAGCCCAAAGAUGCAAUGCCUGCUGUCUAUAUCUAGAGGUAGCGCAGGCUAAGUUAGACUUAUCUAACUAUGUAGUGCUACCUGUACCUAUAUACUUAUUACAUUCAUCCUCUUGAUUGCACCCCUGUUUUCUGUUUUUGGUUCUAUCACUGUAUCAGUUCCAUUCUCCAUGUUCAAAGGCUAAUUUUUCCAGGUACAUGUCUAUAUAAUAUUUAAACAUCAAACAACUGUAGCUUACUAUCUUUGCUAACAAUAACUAUGUAGUAUGACAUCAUUAUAUUCCUUACUCUUGCUAACAGUCUCAUAACUGUAGUGCUUUAGGUAUCAGUCAUAGCUAAUUAAGUCUGAUAACUUUAAUCAGUCUCAUUAAACUCCUGCCUGUGUAGAUGUAAAACAAUUUCUUGAAACUGAAAAAAAAAAAUCCAUACCAUAAAUGAUGAAUUAGACAUCAUCAAUUCUCCCCGUUUUCACGGUCCUUGGGCUCUGUAUGGCCGAUGAAUUCAUACCAGCUCAGAAGUAAAACAUUUCCACGAAAUUAUUCUACAUCUCAAAUACAUAAUAUAUCUUACGGACCUCUAUAUUGGCAUCUACACCUAAAGCUGGUCAUGUAUAGAUCUACAUGAAUGACAAAUUAUCAAAUGGGAUUUAAAAACAACAUGAACAAUAUAAAAAAACGUAUCCUUUGAUUAUAUCAUGUUUCAUGCAUUGACUCUGUACGGUUCCAUAAUGAAUUUAUGUUGGUUCCAUAAUGAAUUUAUGUUGAAUUAUUUUUUUCUCUUCUGCCCAUUAAUGAGUUGUCCUGAUCAUUAAAACACCUCAAGAUCAAACAUAUAUGUAAAACACCUGCAAAACCCUAUAACACUACUGCAAGCCAUUGAUCACCAUUUUUUGUUUUAUUACGCAAAAGACCUACCUAUGACAAGUUUCUUUACUGAACAAAAACCAAAACAAAUGUAACAUUAAAGAAGACUGGUAGCGAACAAACAUUUUUCUCCCAUCAUACAGUUUUUCACUAAUGUUGAUUGACAUAAUUAUUGUUGCUUUUUAAAUAACUAUAGAUCUUAGUAGUGACCUUGAAAUCAUAAUUGUUUAGUACCAUGAUUACUUCAUAUGAAUGAAUGAUCAUAGCUUUAUGGGGGUCAUUAUCAUUGACUUUUAUAUUUACAGCUAUUCAUAUAAAAAUUACUUCUUGGGAGCAAAUUAUUCUGCAUCAUUAGAUAUUUACAAAGACUAUAUGUUUUCAAAAGAAACAAACUGUUAAGGCCAUUAAAAAAAUAACUAAUCUGUCAUAAGUGCAGAGUGGUGUUCAUUAAUUAUUUUAAAUAAUUAAUAUCUAAGCCUAUCUCCAAUAAAAACAACUAUUCUUAAAUAUACCAAUUAAAAUGGGGUGUGCCAAAGACAUUUCUUUAUUCAUUUUUCCCUUUGCUGUAUCUUGUUUAAAUCUGCAAAUUAUAUAUAUACAUGUAUGUGUUAGAAUCACAUUAAAUGUCCAGCUGACAAAUCCGAAAUAAAGCUAGAUCAAUAGAAUAAAGAGAAGAUUCAAUUAUCCGCAAUGGACGACGAAAAACAGGGCUAUAAGUACAAGGUGUAAAACACGCGGAGAGUCCAUCUGACCAAACUCAGUCCGUUCUAGACAUUGUACUGCAGCUGAGCUGCCUCAGCAACAACAGUGGGCGUGACUAGGCAUAGGGUUCCUGGGUUCUACAGCAAGCACCUAAUUUGUUUUCUUCUAUGAAGGAUACAUUACAAACGUUUGGACAUUUCCGAAUAAAUAUAUUUUCACUAUUUUCUCAGAUUAUUGCCUCUACAUGCUCGCCAACAUGCAACAUAUUUUAUAAAUCCCGCUCACGGCCCGAGUAAUGUCCCUGUCUUAUCUAAGGCUAAUGGUCAACAGAAUGCAAUAAUUUUGUAAAGAUGCAAAUAAAAUAAACCCUCUGAAAACCGUGCUAUAUAAUUGCAGCAAACAUUUAAAACAUUUCAAUUAUUUCUCUUGCAAUUUACGUGACAUUACCUUUUUGCGAUGUUUUUAACUUUUC